rnacentral:rRNA from 1 species
UGCGUAGGCGGAUUAAUAAGUCAGUGGUGAAAACCUGCAGCUUAACUGUAGAACUGCCAUUGAUACUGUUAGUCUUGAGUACGGUCAAGGUAGGCGGAAUGUGUAAUGUAGCGGUGAAAUGCUUAGAUAUUACACAGAACACCGAUUGCGAAGGCAGCUUACUGGGCCAUUACUGACGCUGAGGCACGAAAGCGUGGGUAGCGAACAGGAUUAGAUACCCUGGUAGUCC